AAGCUGGACGACGAAGAGCUCGUGUCCUACAUCCUCGCCGGCCUCGACAUCGAGUACAACUCCCUGGUGUCGGCCAUUGCUGCUCGGGUGGAACCCAUCACCCUCGGUGAGCUCUACACCCAACUCAUUAGCUUCGAAC